UCUGCACUUCAGCUUCUCCUCUCUCUGCCCAGUCAGUCAGUCAAUGCUGUGCUGCUUUCUGCAUACCUGCAUCUAGUCUGCUUCUGUCAAUCUCCUAAUUGCAUCAGCUGUUGGUUUGCUCCAGCACCAAGCAAGCCAGCCAGCCAGUCUCCUCACA